rnacentral:rRNA from 1 species
AGGACGAACGCUGGCGGCGUGCCUAAUACAUGCAAGUCGAGCGGACAGAAGGGAGCUUGCUCCCGGAUGUUAGCGGCGGACGGGUGAGUAACACGUGGGUAACCUGCCUGUAAGACUGGGAUAACUCCGGGAAACCGGAGCUAAUACCGGAUAGUUCCUUGAACCGCAUGGUUCAAGGAUGAAAGACGGUUUCGGCUGUCACUUACAGAUGGACCCGCGGCGCAUUAGCUAGUUGGUGGGGUAAUGGCUCACCAAGGCGACGAUGCGUAGCCGACCUGAGAGGGUGAUCGGCCACACUGGGACUGAGACACGGCCCAGACUCCUACGGGAGGCAGCAGUAGGGAAUCUUCCGCAAUGGACGAAAGUCUGACGGAGCAACGCCGCGUGAGUGAUGAAGGUUUUCGGAUCGUAAAGCUCUGUUGUUAGGGAAGAACAAGUGCGAGAGUAACUGCUCGCACCUUGACGGUACCUAACCAGAAAGCCACGGCUAACUACGUGCCAGCAGCCGCGGUAAUACGUAGGUGGCAAGCGUUGUCCGGAAUUAUUGGGCGUAAAGGGCUCGCAGGCGGUUUCUUAAGUCUGAUGUGAAAGCCCCCGGCUCAACCGGGGAGGGUCAUUGGAAACUGGGAAACUUGAGUGCAGAAGAGGAGAGUGGAAUUCCACGUGUAGCGGUGAAAUGCGUAGAGAUGUGGAGGAACACCAGUGGCGAAGGCGACUCUCUGGUCUGUAACUGACGCUGAGGAGCGAAAGCGUGGGGAGCGAACAGGAUUAGAUACCCUGGUAGUCCACGCCGUAAACGAUGAGUGCUAAGUGUUAGGGGGUUUCCGCCCCUUAGUGCUGCAGCUAACGCAUUAAGCACUCCGCCUGGGGAGUACGGUCGCAAGACUGAAACUCAAAGGAAUUGACGGGGGCCCGCACAAGCGGUGGAGCAUGUGGUUUAAUUCGAAGCAACGCGAAGAACCUUACCAGGUCUUGACAUCCUCUGACAACCCUAGAGAUAGGGCUUUCCCUUCGGGGACAGAGUGACAGGUGGUGCAUGGUUGUCGUCAGCUCGUGUCGUGAGAUGUUGGGUUAAGUCCCGCAACGAGCGCAACCCUUGAUCUUAGUUGCCAGCAUUCAGUUGGGCACUCUAAGGUGACUGCCGGUGACAAACCGGAGGAAGGUGGGGAUGACGUCAAAUCAUCAUGCCCCUUAUGACCUGGGCUACACACGUGCUACAAUGGACAGAACAAAGGGCUGCAAGACCGCAAGGUUUAACCAAUCCCAUAAAUCUGUUCUCA